UACGGGGGGGAGCAAGCGUUGUUCGGAUUUACUGGGCGUAAAGGGCGCGUAGGCGGUCGUGACAAGUCACUUGUGAAAUCUCCGGGCUUAACUCGGAACGGUCAAGUGAUACUGUCGGACUAGAGUACAGAAGGGGCAACUGGAAUUCUCGGUGUAGCGGUGAAAUGCGUAGAUAUCGAGAGGAACACCAGUGGCGAAGGCGGCUCGCUGGGCCGGACCUGACGCUGAGACGCGAAGGCGUGGGGAGCGAACGGG
rnacentral:rRNA from 1 species